rnacentral:rRNA from 1 species
GGACUAUGUUUUCUGCCAAGGGAUAAGACUAUAUCCUAUCAGCUAGUUGGUGGUGUAAGAGACUACCAAGGCGAUGACGGGUAGCUGGUCUGAGAGGAGUGAUCAGCCACACUGGAACUGAGACACGGUCCAGACUCCUACGGGAGGCAGCAGUGGGGAAUAUUGCACAAUGGGGGAAACCCUGAUGCAGCAACGCCGCGUGGAGGAAGAAGCAUUUAGGUGUGUGAACUCCUUUUAUCAAGGAAGAAGAUGACGGUACUUGAUGAAUAAGCACCGGCUAACUCCGUGCCAGCAGCCGCGGUAAUACGGAGGGGUGCAAGCGUUACUCGGGAAUCACUGGGGCGUAAAGCGCAUGUAGGCGGGUUGUUUAAAGGUUUAGGAAGUGGAAAAGGCCCUACGGGUCAAACCCGUGGGAACCAGGUUUCCUUAAAAACUUGGAAUUAACUUAGAGUUCUGGGGAGAGGGAAAGAUGGGAAUUAGGUAAGGUGGUAGGGGGUUAAAAUUCCGGUAGAAGGAUUUACUAAGGGAAUUAACCCGGAAAGGCCGAAAGGGCGAAUCUUUCUUGGAAACCAGGGAACUUGGAACGGCUGAGAUGCGAAAGCGUGGGGAGCAAACCAGGAUUAGAUACCCUGGUAGUCCACGCCCUAAACGAUGAAUGUUAGUCGUUGGAGUGCUAGCCACUUCAGUGAUGCAGUAACGCAUUAAACAUUCCGGCCUGGGGAGUACGGCCGCAAGGUUAAAACUCAACGGAAUAGACGGGGACCCGCACAAGUGGUGGACGCAUGUGGUUUAAUUCGAAGAUACGGCGAAAGAACCUUACCUGGCUUGACUUUUUCCAGAAUCUGCCAGAAGAUGGUUGGGAAGUUGGCCCUUCGGGAAGCCUGGGGUAUAACAGGGGUGCUUGGCACGGGUGGUCGGACAAGCUCCGGUGUUCCGGAGAAAUGUUUGGGGUUUAAGUCCGGCAAGAAAGAGCAAACCCUCGGGGGAACAUAGGUUAUUCAAACAGCAUGGGCGGGAGGAACCCUUAUGUCGACAGGGCUCUCAAAGGAGAGCGAAAGGUGUGGAAACACUCAAGGAUCAAAGGGGCCCCUCUAAAGGGAGGGGGGAUUUUGUUUUUCUCUUCGCGUGCUGUGCGCCCUCGUACACACACCCCAUGUGGAGGGGGAGCACCAUUUAAACUCCCAGAACGAGUAGUAGAGGCAGCACCACCAAGUGGAAUGUAGAGGAGAGGCAAUCAUAGGAGCAACCGUAUGAGGGAGAACACCCGGGAUAACA